rnacentral:rRNA from 1 species
AGUGAACGCUGGCGGCGUGCUUAACACAUGCAAGUCGAACGAGAACGGGCUAUAGCUUGCUAUAGUUGUCAGCUAAGUGGCGCACGGGUGAGUAAUGUAUAGGUAAUAUGCCUCUUACUAAGGGAUAACAAAUGGAAACGUUUGCUAAUACCUUAUACUCCUUAUUAACAGAAGUUAAUAAGGGAAAGAUUUAUUGGUAAGAGAUUAGCCUGUAUUGUAUCAGUUAGUUGGUGGGGUAAUGGCUUACCAAGGCUAUGACACAUAACUGGUUUGAGAGGAUGAUCAGUCACACUGGAACUGAGACACGGUCCAGACUCCUACGGGAGGCAGCAGUGGGGAAUAUUGCACAAUGGACGAAAGUCUGAUGCAGCAACGCCGCGUGGAGGAUGACGCAUUUCGGUGCGUAAACUCCUUUUAUGUGAGAAGAUAAUGACGGUAUUAUAUGAAUAAGCACCGGCUAACUCCGUGCCAGCCGCCGCGGUAA